rnacentral:lncRNA from 1 species
AAGACGGAUGUCUCAAGACAUUGGUAUUUCUAUGGGCUGUCUUAAAGACGUCUUCAUUUUCUAAGACAGGUCUCUAUAUGCCUCAAGACAUCUUAAUUUAUAUGUCUUAAGAAGUCACAGGGAAUAUCAGGGGAAUCUCCAAAUCAACCUGGUCCCAGAGCAUUUCAUAUUAUUCUGUACGUAAAUCCGAGACACACCAUUUAUUAUGAUAUGUUAUGCUUCGUAUGGUAUGUAUUCAUUUGUCGGUGUCUAUCACUCAUUUCGUAUGAUAGGUUACAAAUUACAAUUAAUUUAUAUUUGCAAAACAUACAAUACGUUCCGAAUUAGCAAAACGUAUAUUUUAUGAAUUCUAGCUAGGUGGCCAACGUUAGCUAGCUGGCUAACGUUAACUAGGCUAUGGGUUAGGUUUAGGGGAAGGGUUAGCUAACAUAGCAAAAAAAUAGUAAGACGUUGAAAAGUUGCUCAUUAGCUGAAGUUGUCCUUGACGAGAUUUGAACUCACAACCUUUGGGUUGCUAGACAUUCGCGUUAUACACCCGACCAGCCAAACUACUUUCAUUUUUGCCUUAAGUAACCAUCGGUCUUAUGUACCCAUACCAAACAUCACAUAUACUACUGUUCAGGAUUUACAUUUAAUAUGUUACGUCUAGCCUAUGAGACCAGGCUUUCCCAAAAGAAAGUGAAAGUUGAACUAUACUCAACUGAAAGAGAUAAAGGGCUCACUCAGCCAUAUAAAUGUGUAGAGGCAGCGUACCACCAUUCAACUUCAAAGAAGACUAAGUAGAAGAAUAAGCUAUAUCAGACAGAUUCUUACAUUUACAAAAUGGGCGGAAUCUACAGUUAUUUCUACCCAGAGGUCACGAGAGCAACAAGGUGAUAAGAAUAACACCGGGAAUUUCCUGGGGGAAUCACCAAGUGCCUUAGGUGCCAAUGACAACAUUGAGGAUGUGGACAAGUUCAAUGUCCUUGUGAGGUGUGCGGGAAAGACCUUGGACAUAGACGUGUUCCCUCUGGAGAGAAUAGCAGUUCUGUUGGAAAAUGUAUGUCAACAGGCAGGAAAGAAACGCAGCACAAUGAAGCUUGUUUACAACGGGGAAAUGCUGGACGAGAGCAAAACAGUGAAACACUAUAAACUACGAAGAGGAAACUCAGUCAACCUCAUUCAUGCCUAAGUCAAUGUGUUACUUAUUCUUACUGUAUGUGUCAUCAUAGCUGCAUAAAGCAGAAUAUAAUAUCAAUUGGUAUCUGUGUCUCAAAACUGAGUAAGGCUAUAAGAUGCACUACACAUAAAUUGUAUUACAUAGUAUCAUCACCUACGAUUUUAUAAGCUAAUCUUUGAGUGCUGGUGCCCUUGCAUUACAUUGUAAAAACCUAUUGAGGCCCUAGCAUUACAUUGUAAAAACCCAUUGAGGCCCUAGCAUUACAUUUUACCAUUAGACCUACCUGCAAUUUUGUCCUGUCUAUUUGCUUUUAACAAUAAAACUGAUAUUUAUCCAGACUUGUGAUAAUUGUAGGCUACUUAUUCUACAAGAUCACAAUGAAUAUUCAAUUCGUAUAAUGUUAAGAAGCUAAAACUAAUGCAAGAAAUCAUCAGGAUACAACAGCAAACUAGAUUAUAAUAAAAUAUUGAGCUAACGUUAAUAUGCCUACAUGGUUCCCUGACAAAAAGGUGUAGUCCUAGACCAGGCUUCAAAUGACCGCCAACACAUGUGCAGCGAAACGGUGAAAUUUAGCCUACUUCAUAAUAAGCCAAUUUACAUCCAAGACCUAGAAGGCCAAAUUAUAUUAUUUCUUACUUCAAAUAACUUACAAGUUGCGUGAACAUCAUCGUGGUUCAUGAACUCACGUGUUUACUGAGACAUAAAAUGGCAAGCGAAAAAAAAUGUGGGUCCUAUAGGUCAUUUAUAGUGCGUCAUAAACUUAAUUUUAUUUUACCAAAAUACAUUACACACUAAUGCAAUUGUGCUAUAGAAUUGUUUGUUUCUAGUUCAAAAUGA